CAGCCGCCACGGGAAUACGUAGGGUGCGAGCGUUAAUCGGAAUUACUGGGCGUAAAGCGUGCGCAGGCGGUUCGUUAAGACAGAUGUGAAAUCCCCGGGCUUAACCUGGGAACUGCAUUUGUGACUGGCGAGCUAGAGUAUGGCAGAGGGGGGUAGAAUUCCACGUGUAGCAGUGAAAUGCGUAGAGAUGUGGAGGGAUACCGAUGGCGAAGGCAGCCCCCUGGGCCAAUACUGACGCUCAUGCACGAAAGCGUGGGGAGCAAACAGGAUUAGAGACCCCUGUAGUCCCUGUCUCUUAUAC
rnacentral:rRNA from 1 species